rnacentral:rRNA from 1 species
UGGGGAAUAUUGGACAAUGGAGGAAACUCUGAUCCAGCAAUUCUGUGUGUGUGAAGAAGGUUUUAGGACUGUAAAACACUUUUAGUAGGGAAGAAAAAAAUGACGGUACCUACAGAAGAAGCAACGGCUAAAUACAUGCCAGCAGCCGCGGUAAUACGUAUGUUGCGAGCGUUAUCCGGAAUUAUUGGGCUUAAAGGGCAUCUAGGCGGUAAGACAAGUUGAAGGUGAAAACCUGUGGCUCAACCAUAGGCUUGCCUACAAAACUGUUGAACUAGAGUACUGGAAAGGUGGGUGGAACUACACGAGUAGAGGUGAAAUUCGUAGAUAUGUGUAGGAAUGCCGAUGAUGAAGAUAACUCACUGGACAGAAACUGACGCUGAAGUGCGAAAGCUAGGGGAGCAAACAGG